CAAAUCGUUUUUGAACUUCAUACAAUAUCUAUAAUACCUAGCUUACUUAAAAAUGAAGCUCUUAUAUUUAUUGUUUUUGUGUUUUCUACUGAUUGCCGGCAUUGCCGCUGAUAUUGAGAAUGAUGGAACUGAACAGCCGCCUUUCAUGAUUCUCGAUAGACUUCUACCGGCGAGUAAAAUGAUAAAGAUUUACAAAGAUAACAAAAAAGGGACAACACCAAUACAGCCUUGAUUAAUGGGUUUAAGAAGAAAAGUACAAAUAAAGCGCCACCUUUCAUAUAUCACACAAAUAUUCUGCCACGGAGUCAAAUGGAACAUCUUUACAAACAAGCCAGUGGAAAACUCAAACCGUGAUCAAUCAAUUUACGAACAGAAUUAAUAAUGAAAGCAGGAUUAUAAGAAAAAAGGAAAGAAGGAACUGACAAAAAUAUCAUUUUUUAUGUAUUUUGUGUGAAAUAUAAACUGUGACGUCACAUUUGUCACUUGAA